UAACAAGGAUUCCCCUAGUAACUGCGAGUGAAGCGGGAAAAGCUCAAAUUUAAAAUCUGGCGGCGUUGGUCGUCCGAGUUGUAAUCUGGAGAAGCAUUUUCUGUGUCGGACCGUGCACAAGUUUCCUGGAACGGAAUGUCAUAGAGGGUGAGAAUCCCGUCCAUGGCACGGAUCACCGAUGCAUUGUGAUAUGCUCUCGAAGAGUCGAGUUGUUUGGGAAUGCAGCUCAAAAUGGGUGGUAAAUUCCAUCUAAAGCUAAAUAUUGGCGAGAGACCGAUAGCGAACAAGUACCGUGAGGGAAAGAUGAAAAGCACUUUGGAAAGAGAGUUAAACAGUACGUGAAAUUGUUGAAAGGGAAACGCUUGGAGUCAGUCGCGUUGGUCGGGAUUCAGUCGCUCUUACCGGAGUGGAUUACUUCCUGAUGAACGGGUCAACAUCGAUUUCGACCGGUGGACAAAGGGGAGAGAAAGGUGGCACCUUCGGGUGUGUUAUAGUCUCUCUUUCGCAUACACCGGCUGGGAUCGAGGAUCGCAGCACGCCUUUAUGGCCGGGGGUUCGCCUCACGUAACGUGCUUAGGAUGUUGGCAUAAUGGCUUUAAGCGACCCGUCUUGAAACACGGACCAAGGAGUCUAACAUGCUCGCGAGUGUUAGGGUGGAAAACCCUUGCGCGUAAUGAAAGUGAAAGUUGGGACCUUCGUCAUGGAGGGCACCGACGCCCGGCCUUGAACUCUUGUGACGGUGCUGCGGUAGAGCGCGUAUGUUGGGACCCGAAAGAUGGUGAACUAUGCCUGAAUAGGGCGAAGCCAGAGGAAACUCUGGUGGAGGCUCGUAGCGAUUCUGACGUGCAAAUCGAUCGUCAAAUUUGGG
rnacentral:rRNA from 1 species